CCUACGGGUGGCAGCAGUGGGGGAUAUUGCACAAUGGGGGAAACCCUGAUGCAGCGACGCCGCGUGGGUGAAGAAGUAUUUCGGUAUGUAAAGCCCUAUCAGCAGGGAAGAAAGAAGACGGUACCUGACUAAGAAGCCCCGGCUAACUACGUGCCAGCAGCCGCGGUAAUACGUAGGGGGCGAGCGUUAUCCGGAUUCACUGGGUGUAAAGGGAGCGUAGACGGCCGUGCAAGCCAGGGGUGGAAGCCCGGGGCCCAACCCCGGGACUGCUCUUGGAACUGUGCGGCUGGAGUGCGGGAGGGGCAGGCGGAAUUCCUGGUGUAGCGGUGAAAUGCGUAGAUAUCAGGAGGAACACCGGCGGCGAAGGCGGCCUGCUGGACCGCGACUGACGUUGAGGCUCGAAAGCGUGGGGAGCGAACAGGAUUAGAUACCCGAGUAGUC
rnacentral:rRNA from 1 species